rnacentral:rRNA from 1 species
AACGAACGCUGGCGGCAGGCUUAACACAUGCAAGUCGAACGCAUCCUUCGGGGUGAGUGGCAGACGGGUGAGUAACGCGUGGGAACGUGCCCUUCAGUUCGGGAUAACCCAGGGAACUUGGGCUAAUACCGGAUACGUGCGAGAGCAGAAAGAUUUAUCGCUGAAUGAUCGGCCCGGGUCUGAUUAGCUGGUUGGUGGGGUAAUGGCCCACCCAGGGGAAGGUCAGUAGCUGGUCUGAGAGGAUGAUCAGCCACAUUGGGACUGCGACACGGCCCAAACUCCUACGGAAGGCAGCAGUGGGGAAUAUUGGACAAUGGGCGCAAGCCUGAUCCAGCCAUGCCGCGUGAGUGAUGAAGGCCUUAGGGUUGUAAAGCUCUUUCGUCCGGGACGAUAAUGACGAUACCUGAAGAAGAAGCCCCGGCUAACUUCGUGCCAGCAGCCGCCGUAA